GGCGCCUGGGGGCCGGGUGGGGGCCGGGUGGGGGCCAGGUGGGGCCGGCUUCCCGCCACCGGCCCGCCGACCGACCAGCGGCGGUCGCAGGAGGCUCGGUGGCUGCAGCGGCGGGGGCCCGGCCGUGCGGCGUCAGCCGGGCCAGUGUGACAUCACGGCAGGGCCGGGUGUGCGCCGCCCCCGGGGCCUGAGCGGCACGGAGGCUGUGCCGCCGGGGAGCCCGCGGCGCAGGCCUGGACGCUCCUCUGCGGGCCCUGCGCUCUGACCGCGCGACCUGCGAGCUGCACGCGCGGGGGCCGGUCAUUUCUUCAGUCUGUCUCACUACACGGAGACCUUCUUUACGGCUCAUAUUUCGCCCUCUAGUAUCCUCCCUUCAUCUAUCCAACAAACUGCCCAUAGGCCUGCUCUGCACCAGACACUCUUCUCAACACUGGAUCAGAUGCAAGAUGAAUAAGGCGUGACAAGUGCCAUCUUGGAAAGAAGAGGUGAUCGGCCUGCCACCCUAGGCUGCCGUGGAGUCGAAGGCUUAGAAACCAAAACCAGGGCAAAUGCAAAGCUGAGAAGUGAAGCACCCAGCUGCAUCAGGGACCAGCCCAGGAUAAUCUGGGGAGUGAGUGCUCUCCAUUUCUUCACAAAGGCCCCUCCUUUAUAUUGGGAGCAGGCCUUGUCUCCUCGCCUCCCCCGUGCCAAAGCUGGGGUUGGUUGCUGGGCUGAGGAGUGCGACUGCAGGUAGGAAUGUGACCCAUCUGCUCUCAGGUCUAAGUCCUGCUAGUCUUUGUUUUCUUUUUGCGUCCAAAGAGGACAUUCUGGGGACCGGGGCCCAGCAGAAAGGACAGCCUUGGUGGAAUAGGAGCUCGGGUAAAAACAAAAGUCAAAUACCAGUAGUGAAAAGAAAGGGAAGGCGGAACAACAGAGACAUGGUGGUCACCAACAUGUGAAGCCACUAAAUGCCACCGAGUUGUACACUUUACAAUGGUCAAUUGUACGUCAUGUGAAUUUCCACCCGAGUUUAAAAGAAAAAGGAAGAUUUGUAGGAAUGAAAGAUAAUGGGCAAGAGAUUUUUACCCCUAAUUUCUCCUAAUUUUUAAGGGUCAGCCCAGAGAUUACUCUGGGGGAAGGGCGAGUGCCUAGAUGCUCAUACAACCAUGUUUAAUUCCCCCGCACAUGUGUCUAAUUCCUUCCUCGUCCAGGCAUCACCCAGACGGAACCAUCUUCCUCUCCAGUUCUUCACACACUGGCCCUCUCACUUAGAAUACAGCUGAGUGAUGGGGCUCUUCUCUCCCUUGCCCUGGGUCCUCACUGUUUCUCAUGCCUCUGCCGUUCUGUAACUUCUCAACUUUCUGACCAAUUGUUAUACAAGCUCCUGGCACUUGCAUUGCAUAUGCCUUAACCUCUCAUGGAUUCUAAGCCAAACCAAAGCCCAAACAAAUGCUCUGGGACGGCACACAGACCCGAGGGAAGAGGGCAAUGAAUCAGGACGGGAACUCAAAAUUUCAUAACUGAGUAUUAUUUGUGCUAAGUCACUUUGCACUUCAGAAAUCAAAAAGGGCCAGUGUUGGAUUCUUUAUCUGACACAAUUCCUGAUAUGUGAUUGGUACUAAUAACUAUUUUGCUGAGUAAAUUACAGUUCAUUCACAGUGUGCAAAGCAUAGUCCUGCAGUCCACAAGG